rnacentral:tRNA from 1 species
AGCAACUUGACGCAGUGGAAGCGUGCAGGGCUCAUAACCCUGAAGUCCCUGGAUCGAAAGCAGGAGUUGCUA